UGACUCUGUGUGUGAGUGUGUGUGGCUUGAUGGUGAAUAUGUGUCUGGCUUGACUGUGUGUGUGUGUGUGUGACUGUGAAAAUUGCAUUUGUUUGAUUGUGUGGCUUGUAUGCUUUGCUGAAUGUUUGGUUGUAUAACUUGUGUUCUAUAUUUCACGAUUGAUUGCUUUGUUGAUUGUUGAAUGUGAACAGACCUAGCACUAUUCUUUUUUCUGAACUUUUUUGUGAUUAUGUCUUAUGUGGAUAUCAUAUUCUUUUUUAUGUAUUACUAUUGUCCAGUCACUGGAAUAAUGCUUUUCUAAGUAUUUAAGGUACAUACAUUGGAUCUGGACAUUUCACAUUGGCUCUUUAUUGUGUUGCUAAGGACACUGAUGGGUUGAGUUUGCAUAAAACGCAGUAUGGAGCAAGAAUUUGGUCUCAUUGCAAGGUCACUACCUGGACAUAUAGCCAAGCAAUGUCAAGAGAGGUGGAAUAAUCAUAUGAAUCCAAACAUACAGAGAGAUGCUUGGACUAUGAGGAGGAACAUGCACUGUAUAAUGCCCAGGGAAUAAAUGGGCAAAAAUAGCAAAAUUUCUUCCUAGAAGUUCUUCUCACCUAUAGCUAAAGUCAAAGACGACAAACCAGGUGAAUUUUUGGAGGUGCAAGAUACACAGAAUCGGCUAUCCAUCGGCUUGUAACUCAUGAGAGGCAACCACAGUUGCCAACUUGAAACAUAUAUAUUUUAGGAACGAAGAUCUGAAUCACCCUCACCCCUCAGAGAAAUCGUUUAGUCAUUCAGGUUCUGGAAUUUAUUUAUAGCUUUCUGAGUUUACUUCGGGCUUGCAUGUAUUUGCUUUCUGUUUGUGCCCCUAUCUAUGUCUGUUUCUUGUUGUUUCUUAUGUGCAAGUGCUCCAUUAUGUGUCUGUCUGACUGUUUGGGGCUUGACUCUCUUGUGUGUGUGGCUUGACUGUCUGUGUGUGGGACUGUGUGUUUGACUGUGUGUGAAUAUUGCAUUUGACUGUGAUGUGUGACUGUGUGUGUGACUCUGUGUUUGACUGUGUGUGUGACUGUGUGAAUAUUGUGCAUUUGACUGUGAUGUGUGUGACUGAAUAUUGCAUUUUGGCAAUGACUGAGUGUGAUUGUGUGUGGCUU